AGUGGUUCUCAGCCUUCUUUUAUUUUCCUAGAAUGUCUACUCUUCACUCGCUAAAGAGGGAGGCCCUGCAGCAGAAGAGAGGUGCAACACAUCAGAUUCCUAUGAGCUAGACAAAGAAGUCUCAGCAAAACUGAUUUGAUCCUGAAUUAAUACAGUGUCAGGGUGCCCCACAAAUUGUUGUGUAGAGGUUUGGCCCCAUGUCAUCAGCCAUCAGAUGACCGCUUCAUGCUGCCAUUCUUUGCUGUGCACUGUAACACAUCAAUCUUUGGAACCCCUCAUGUCUAUGAGCAGGAACUUGGCUGCCAUGAAGAUGGGUAACCUGUACAAGGGCCAAGCCGUGGAAUUCUAGUUUCAGCUCUGUCCCUGUCUCAUCAUUUGGGCAGUGACUUUCAACCUAACUGCACCCCCAACAUGUCUGAGGACUAUGACACACGCCCGGAUCACAGCAGUGGAUCCCAUCUGGCCGGAAGAUGGUGGAGACUAGAGGGCGUACCACAGGAUUGGAUCACCACAAACCUAAACAAAUUCAGCAGCAGUUGUUCAGAAACAACUAAACACAUUUGAAACGAAGAAUAUAAAGCUGAGAGUGAAAUUCAAUCUUUUAAAAUGAGCAUAAUUAUACUGAAUAGAUAGCCCAGACUGAG
rnacentral:lncRNA from 1 species